GACAGAGGGUGCAAACGUUGCUCGGAAUCACUGGGCGUAAAGAGCGUGUAGGCGGGAAGGAAAGUCAGAUGUGAAAUCCCCAGGCUCAACCUGGGAACUGCAUUUGAAACUCCCUUUCUUGAAUACCGGAGAGGAAAGCGGAAUUCCUGGUGUAGAGGUGAAAUUCGUAGAUAUCAGGAGGAACACCAGCGGCGAAGGCGGCUUUCUGGACGGUAACUGACGCUGAGACGCGAAAGCGUGGGGAGCAAACAGG
rnacentral:rRNA from 1 species